CCCUUCCCCCAAUACAACCCCCCCCUUUUUGUGAAUCACUGUGAUCCUCUUAACUCUGAAGCAAACCCAAACCCUAGGUUCUCCCUGCAACGGAUCUGCCGCAGUGCCGCCGCCGCCCGUGCUGUCGGCACCUCCGCGGCUUCCUCCUUCCAGCUGUGCCGAGCCCAGGCCCUCUCUUGUAGCUCGGUGUCUUCCUUCCCCCUGUUCCCGUCCUCUGUGGCUUCUCUGUUCGAGGCUUGGAGUAGCUCGCCGCCGUGUUGCCGCUCGUCGCCGUCUCUCCGGUCGUCGUCCGUGUCUCAGUCGAAGAAAGAUGUUGGUCGUUCCAAGUUUUCAAAGUCCCUUUCUGUACCUGGGAGAAAUUUUGUUAUUGUAAGAUCCAUCUCCUUUUCUACCCGUAGUAAACAGGAUCAGCAAGAUACAAAUGAUGAUAUAUUCCCUCUAAGGCCUCACUAAAGUCAUAUAUAUUUUAGGCAACUACUCAAAUAAAACAAAGUACACUUUUAACAUAAGAAUCUUUAUGUACUUCCAGUUUCGUAGUCCUACUUUCUGUUUUUAAAUUCACAGUGAAGAAAUCUAAUCCAUUUUCCAAGCUUUA